rnacentral:rRNA from 1 species
GAGUUUGAUCGUGGCUCAGAGCGAACGCUGGCGGCAGGCCUAACACAUGCAAGUCGAACGCCCCUUCGGGGGAGUGGCGGACGGGUGAGUAACACGUGGGAACGUGCCCUUUGGUACGGAACAACUGAGGGAAACUUCAGCUAAUACCGUAUGAGCCCUUCGGGGGAAAGAUUUAUCGCCAUUGGAGCGGCCCGCGUUGGAUUAGGUAGUUGGUGGGGUAAAGGCCUACCAAAGCCUACGAUCCAUAGCUGGUCUGAGAGGAUGAUCAGCCACACUGGGACUGAGACACGGCCCAGACUCCUACGGGAGGCAGCAGUGGGGAAUCUUGCGCAAUGGGCGAAAGCCUGACGCAGCCAUGCCGCGUGUAUGAUGAAGGUCUUAGGAUUG